CCUUUGCCGGCCUAAUCUCAGUGAUCUUCAAUUGCAAAGGGAUUGAAGAUACAUGUUUACCCAUUGGUAGAAAUAAAGAUUGUUGAUUGGCUAUUUCAGUAUUGAAGUUCCAGGUGCUUUUGUUCGGGUGAUCUUUUCUUUGAAUUAAAAGUGUUACAGAUGACUUUGCCAAACACAUUAAUGUCAGCGAUUGAAAUUCUUGAGUUUGUCAAAGUUGCGGAUUGCUACCCAAUGGUUUCUAUUGCUUAUCGAAUAUUAUUGACAAUACCCAUGACUGUAGCAUCAGCGGAGAGAAGUUUUUCAAAAUUGAAGUUAUUGAAAACCUACUUGAGAUCUUCAAAUGUCACAAGAAAGAUUGAAUGGUUUGGUGAUUUUGUGUAUUGAGAAAGAUAUGCUAGAAAAUAUUAAUCUUGAUGCAAUUAUGGAUGAUUUUGCAUCAAUAAAUUUUUUGUCAUGAUUAUUUUUGUAUUAAAAAAAUUGUUGAAAAUUUU